rnacentral:rRNA from 1 species
AGUGAACGCUGGCGGCGUGCCUAAUACAUGCAAGUCGAACGGAGAUUAAGUAGCUUGCUAUUUAAUCUUAGUGGCGCACGGGUGAGUAAUAUAUAGCUAACUUGCCCAUUACUAAGGGACAACAGUUGGAAACGACUGCUAAUACCUUAUACUCCGUGUCUAUAUAAGUAGAUACGGGAAAGUUUUUCGGUAAUGGAUAGGGCUAUAUCGUAUCAGCUAGUUGGUAAGGUAAUGGCUUACCAAGGCUAUGACGCGUAACUGGUCUGAGAGGAUGAUCAGUCACACUGGAACUGAGACACGGUCCAGACUCCUACGGGAGGCAGCAGUAGGGAAUAUUGCUCAAUGGGGGAAACCCUGAAGCAGCAACGCCGCGUGGAGGAUGACACUUUUCGGAGCGUAAACUCCUUUUCUUGGGAAAGAAUUAUGACGGUACCCAAGGAAUAAGCACCGGCUAACUCCGUGCCAGCAGCCGCGGUAAUACGGAGGGUGCAAGCGUUACUCGGAAUCACUGGGCGUAAAGGACGCGUAGGCGGAUUAUCAAGUCUCUUGUGAAAUCUAACGGCUUAACCGUUAAACUGCUUGGGAAACUGAUAAUCUAGAGUAAGGGAGAGGCAGAUGGAAUUCUUGGUGUAGGGGUAAAAUCCGUAGAGAUCAAGAAGAAUACCCAUUGCGAAAGCGAUCUGCUGG